rnacentral:lncRNA from 1 species
CAGAGACCUUCUCUAUCAUGUUCCCUGCAGUAUUUCCUGCUUUGAGAGCAGUUCCUGGCACAUUAGCUGGGGCUCAAUAGAGUGCUGUUGAAAAAAUGAGCAAACCGAGACCAGGUAGUGGGGACAGCCCCAGGGGCUCCCCAUCUAGAGAAGCGAUGGAGACAAACUGGCAUCUAUAACAUGCAGCUCCAUGGAUACUUUGCUACACGGCAGACGGGGGUUGCAGGAGCCUUGAAGAUGUGACUCUACCCCGCAUGCAUGGGAGCCGGUGCAGGGGAAAGUUCCUGGAGAAGUUGUGUCCAAGUUGAGACCUAAAGGAUGAGGAGGUAGGUGCAGGGCAGAGAGAGGGUCAUGUCCCAGGCAGGGACACUUGAAUGUUCAAAGAGCCAGUGAAGGCACAGUGAGGAUUCAGAAAACAGUGCUUACAAAUCAUCUAGCCUGCCCGACAGAGAAGGGCCAUCUUUCUUCCUCCUGUAGCCACUUGGAAGAGCAGAGGGGACUCUGCCCAGGCCAUCCCGCCUGGACCGGGGAGGCAGAAUUAAAAAGACCCAGAUUUCUGUGGUUGAAGAGACAAAGCUGAACUAUGGAAGUAAAGGAAGUCCCAGCCCAAGACCAAACUGCGAGACCAUGGCACCCAGUGCGGAGGGCACGGCCGAGUCCCUCCACCACAUACAAGCCUGGGCUCUAGGGCUCCUGCCAGCCCUGCAGAGACUUGUCCCUGAACUGGUCCUGAUUCCUGAAGAGCCUGUCUUUCUGCUCACUCAUCCCUCAUUCAGUCACCACACACACAGCCAUGCACAUCACCUCUGCUCUGGUCACAUGCACAUGCCCACACCUACCCUCAGGAUCUCAGGUGGGUGCCUGGAUCGUCA